CAGUGUACAUCAUUAUUUAUGACUUGAAGAUAUCUGGACACUAGCAACCAUGCAUGCCUAUGCCACUGCCUCCUACACGUGAUGUGAUCCUUCGUAUAACUCACGGCCAAAUGCACAUGAGGUCGUCUGCUCAAAUGGAAACGACUACAAUGGACAGGCUUGGCAGCAACGAGAUGCAGCAUGACUUCCUCCAGUGACGUGAUUCUGUCGUAUGUAGCCCUCCCCCCACCACGCCGCACCUCUCCACCUCAUUUUCUGGUGGGGGCUCUCCAUCUUGUCCUCAUUUUAUUGGUGGGUUCUUUCGAUUGUAGGACAAUUGGUCCUCAAAAGUGCAUACCUAGGACAGUCGGUCCUCUUGCACCAGCAUACAUUUUCAUGAAAAUUCAUAUGAAGUUAGAUUAUUCCCAGUUUUAACCUGCUAUCUUCUGAUGUGUUCCAGAGUUGGGUGCAUUCAUUUGUGCAGCAGGACCUGGCUGUCUUUUUUUGUUUGGUUCAACUGCUGCCUCAUUCUUAUCAGAAGCUGAGCACACACCAUGUGAUUUUUUAUUUAUUUAUUUUUUUUAAUGGGGGCACAUUAUUUCCCACCAAAAACGUACCAUGUGAUAUAUUUUUCUUCACAGUAACCCCUGCCUUUUUCCUCCUUUUAAACAAUGCUUCCUCCACUAAGUGCGAAAACAAGAUGGCCACGAGUUACUGCUUUGAAAUGUACCGUAAUUCCCGGCCUACAGAGCGCAACGGAUUAUAAGACUCACCCAGUACAUUUGUCAGGGAAAUACCAUUUGGUACGUACAUAAGACGGACGUGUGUAAAAGCUGCAAGUGCCCACAUUGAAAGACGAGAUAUUUACGAAGAAAUACAGUACACAGAAAGCAUUUUCAAUGUUUUAAUACCUUAUCUUAGCUUAACAUAGCAACAACACGG